CUGUGGCUUGCCACUGACCACGGGAGCCUGCAGCGCCGGGAACAUUAGUCCCUCGCUGUCCAACUGAAGCCAGGCCAUCCCAGGUGACCCAGAAGCCUUAGGGGCAUGGCACGAGGCAGACAUCUUGACUUAUCUCCCUGAAAAAAAGGGUUCUCCAGAAACCUUGAUGAGAGGACUGGGUUCUGGUCCCAGCUCCGUCUGUCACGGGCCGAAGCUGGCAUCCCCUUUGCAAAACUCAUACUUCAUAGCAUUCAGAGGCAAAAGGCCUCAUUCCAGCUCUCCCGGACGCUGGCCCUGUGGAGGAGCGGAGAGGUCAAUGAAGACAGGCAGCCUGCACUCAAAGAAGGGGGUGGAAGAGCUCAGCUAAGGGUACCCCACUCCCUCUGAGGGGAUGCGGCAAAGCAGGCAGCUGGGACGAGGUCCAAGUGCUUGAGGCAGCCUCCAUGUCCAUCCGGGUGACUAAGGAGGAUUUUAAGGCCAAACUGCAAGGUGAUGGACACUUGGUCUGGACACCUGUGCACCACCCAACUUCCAGAUCAGGCAGUACCCGGUUAUUCGGAAAACAA